UAACCUGGCAGAUUCUUAUUGGCUUGAAAAAGGUGCGAAAUCAGUUUCUGAGUAAGGCAAAAUCUCUUUAUGAGGCUAUAAUGAAGAUCAGAAGAGAAGAAGGCUCGAAGAGAAUGAUUGUUUCUGGAAAUCGAUGGUGGGAAUGAGCGUUCAACCGUUCAACGGGAAGCCGAUGAAGACGGCAAGAUCUCACGGGAAGAAGUUUCGGGUCACGGUGGAGAAGGAGACAUGUAGGAUCUUGGGAAACUUGGGAUGGGCUUAUAUGCAGCUUUCGAAAGACCCGGGAGAGAGGAAGAACAUGGAACCAAAUCAAUGUAAUAAGAGAUAAAGCUAUGGUGGGUUUGAGACCUCCAGCUUGAUGUUAAAGGCUGCAAAGAUGUAUAUGCUUCUUUUGACAAGUAUGUUGAAGUUGAACGACUUGAAGGAGACAACAAAUACCAGGCAGAAGGACAUGAUUUGCAGAUAAACGAUCGAUAUGAGUUUCCUCUUCAACUGGAUCUCGACAGAGAGAAUGGAAAAUACUUAUCCCCCGAUGCUGACAAGAGUGUUCGUAAUCUAUACACACUCCAUAGUGUCUUAGUCCAUAGUGGAGGAGUGCAUGGAGGGCACUAUUAUGCUUUUAUUAGGCCAACACUCUCAGAUCAAUGGGAUCUGCAUGGGCAAAAGUACGUAUAGAAGAAAAAGCCUUCCGACAUAUAAUUGAUGGGGCCAUAUGAAAUUAAACCAUUCGUCAAAAAACUUUGUCUAUCUCCACUUUAUUUAACCAUCUACCUUAGCUAAGGAACGAACUAAGAUUUGCUUUGAGUAAAGAAACAUGAGCUACGAGAAUACAAACUGAUCUAUCUUCUUGAUUCUCUUGAAGUUGCUAUUUUCGCUGAUGCUUUAUUCUUCAUGUGAAGCUGCUUCAAGCCUUUCUCUAAAUCAUUGUGGGGGUGUCAAGACCCUAUUCCCUUUUGAAUCGGAAUGAGUGGUUAUUUGGAGAGGUCUUACGAAAUCCAAGGUUGUAAUACCUUAGAUAUCGUAUCCUUUCUCCAGGUAGCAAUUCUUACCGAUUCCGAAAGGGAAUGGAAUCUUGACACUUCACAGUGAUUUAGAAGAAAGGCAAUUUUGUAUUAUUCUUAGCCCUAGUUGGUGAA